rnacentral:rRNA from 1 species
UGGGGAAUAUUGCACAAUGGGCGCAAGCCUGAUGCAGCCAUGCCGCGUGUGUGAAGAAGGCCUUCGGGUUGUAAAGCACUUUCAGCGAGGAGGAAGGGUAGUGUGUUAAUAGCACAUUGCAUUGACGUUACUCGCAGAAGAAGCACCGGCUAACUCCGUGCCAGCAGCCGCGGUAAUACGGAGGGUGCAAGCGUUAAUCGGAAUUACUGGGCGUAAAGCGCACGCAGGCGGUUUGUUAAGUCAGAUGUGAAAUCCCCGCGCUUAACGUGGGAACUGCAUUUGAAACUGGCAAGCUAGAGUCUUGUAGAGGGGGGUAGAAUUCCAGGUGUAGCGGUGAAAUGCGUAGAGAUCUGGAGGAAUACCGGUGGCGAAGGCGGCCCCCUGGACAAAGACUGACGCUCAGUUGCGAAAGCGUGGGGAGCAAACA